ACGCUGGCGGCGUGCCUAAUACAUGCAAGUCGAGCGAGCUUGCCUAUAGAAGUUCUUCGGAAUGGAAAUAGAUACAAGCUAGCGGCGGAUGGGUGAGUAACGCGUGGGUAACCUGCCCUUAAGUCUGGGAUACCAUUUGGAAACAGAUGCUAAUACCGGAUAAAAGCUACUUUCGCAUGAAAGAAGUUUAAAAGGCGGCGUAAGCUGUCGCUAAAGGAUGGACCUGCGAUGCAUUAGCUAGUUGGUAAGGUAACGGCUUACCAAGGCGAUGAUGCAUAGCCGAGUUGAGAGACUGAUCGGCCACAUUGGGACUGAGACACGGCCCAAACUCCUACGGGAGGCAGCAGUAGGGAAUCUUCCACAAUGGACGAAAGUCUGAUGGAGCAACGCCGCGUGAGUGAAGAAGGUUUUCGGAUCGUAAAGCUCUGUUGUUGGUGAAGAAGGAUAGAGGUAGUAACUGGCCUUUAUUUGACGGUAAUCAACCAGAAAGUCACGGCUAACUACGUGCCAGCAGCCGCGGUAAUACGUAGGUGGCAAGCGUUGUCCGGAUUUAUUGGGCGUAAAGCGAGCGCAGGCGGAUUGAUAAGUCUGAUGUGAAAGCCUUCGGCUCAACCGAAGAACUGCAUCAGAAACUGUCAAUC
rnacentral:rRNA from 1 species